UGAGGGUGUCUUUCAGUGCAUUAGCCUAGUGUGUUAUGUUUCUCCUUGAGCUAAAAAAAAUCUGUGACCAAGACCCUGAAGUUCCUCAGCUGCAGUUUAAGUGAGGCAGGUGCAGUAGAUACUCCUUCCAUGCAGCGCAGCCAUCCUGAGCCUGCAGGGACCAGCUCAUGAUGAACCUUAAGCUUCUGUUUUUCCUUGCUGCCUUUCUCUAAGUAACAAAUCUGCUUCUCAUACCUUGUUGUAUAUGAAUAUGUUCUGAUUUACUGGAUUCAGACAAGUUGGUAACCAGUGCACAGUGAACCUGCUUCACAGGUAGUGUUUGUCUCAUUAGGAAGAUCCUCCUUCCCUUUUGUGCUAAGAAGAAUUCUAAAAUGCCCUCCUCAGGAUUUCCCACACUAAUCCUCAGGACUGAAAAAGAUGAAAUAUCCUACUAUAUAACAUGGAAAAUGGAAUUUUUCAGAUGUAACUAAGGUUACCAUUCAAUUGGAUUUGCACUGAUAAAAAUGGAGAUUAUCCAGGUGGACCUAAUCUAAUCACAUAACACCUUUUAAAAGCAGUCUGUUUUCUCUGGCUGGUGGCAUAAAAGGAAAUCAGACAAACAGAGAAGAGUGAGAAGGAUUGACUAUGGCUUGAAGAAGGAUUGGGUGUGUGGCAAAAAAAUAUGAGUAAUCUCUAGAAGCUGAGAGUAGUGCCUGGUUGACAGCAAAGCACCUCACUUGGACCAUCAAGACUUCUGACCCAUAAAAUUGUAAGAUAAUAAAUGACUGCUUCUUUAAGUUA